rnacentral:rRNA from 1 species
GACGAACGCUGGCGGCGUGCUUAACACAUGCAAGUCGAACGGAAAGGCCCUGCUUUUGUGGGGUGCUCGAGUGGCGAACGGGUGAGUAACACGUGAGUAACCUGCCCUUGACUUUGGGAUAACUUCAGGAAACUGGGGCUAAUACCGGAUAGGAGCUCCUGCUGCAUGGUGGGGGUUGGAAAGUUUCGGCGGUUGGGGCUGGACUCGCGGCUUAUCAGCUUGUUGGUGGGGUAGUUGCUUACCAAGGCUUUGACGGGUAGCCGGCCUGAGCGGGUGACCGGCCACCUUGGGACUGCGAUACGGCCCAGACUCCUACGGGAGGCAGCAGUGGGGAAUAUUGCACAAUGGGCGGAAGCCUGAUGCAGCAACGCCGCGUGCGGGAUGACGGCCUUCGGGUUGUAAACCGCUUUCGCCUGUGACGAAGCGUGAGUGACGGUAAUGGGUAAAGAAGCACCGGCUAACUACGUG